CCCCAGCAUGGACUCGCACCUCAUCGCGGUGCUGGGGUCUAGUAGUCUGUGUUAUACAGGCGAAGCAAAGACGAGU
rnacentral:ribozyme from 1 species